rnacentral:rRNA from 1 species
AUUGAACGCUGGCGGCAGGCCUAACACAUGCAAGUCGAACGGCAGCACAGAAGAGCUUGCUCUUUGGGUGGCGAGUGGCGGACAGGUGAGUAACACGUAGGAAUCUACCCAGUAGUGGGGGAUAACCUGGGGAAACCCAGGCUAAUACCGCAUACGCCCUGAGGGGGAAAGCGGGGGAUCUUCGGACCUCGCGCUAUUGGAUGAGCCUGCGUCGGAUUAGCUAGUUGGUGGGGUAAGGGCUCACCAAGGCGACGAUCCGUAGCUGGUCUGAGAGGAUGACCAGUCACACCGGAACUGAGACACGGUCCGGACUCCUACGGGAGGCAGCAGUGGGGAAUUUUGGACAAUGGGGGCAACCCUGAUCCAGCCAUUCCGCGUGAGUGAAGAAGGCCUCGGUUGUAAG